GAUGAACGCUGGCGGCGUGCCUAAUACAUGCAAGUCGAGCGAACGGACGAGAAGCUUGCUUCUCUGAUGUUAGCGGCGGACGGGUGAGUAACACGUGGAUAACCUACCUAUAAGACUGGGAUAACUUCGGGAAACCGGAGCUAAUACCGGAUAAUAUUUUGAACCGCAUGGUUCAAAAGUGAAAGACGGUCUUGCUGUCACUUAUAGAUGGAUCCGCGCUGCAUUAGCUAGUUGGUAAGGUAACGGCUUACCAAGGCAACGAUGCAUAGCCGACCUGAGAGGGUGAUCGGCCACACUGGAACUGAGACACGGUCCAGACUUCUACGGGAGGCAGCAGUAGGGAAUCUUCCGCAAUGGGCGAAAGCCUGACGGAGCAACGCCGCGUGAGCGAUGAAGGUCUUCGGAUCGUAAAACUCUGUUAUUAGGGAAGAACAUAUGUGUAAGUAACUGUGCACAUCUUGACGGUACCUAAUCAGAAAGCCACGGCUAACUACGUG
rnacentral:rRNA from 1 species